GGAAGGUGUGGACAGCAGCCAGCCAGCCAGCCAGCGUGGAGCAGGGCCAGAGAGAAGACAACCAGUGCUACCUAAGACAGAUAGUCCCAGCUGAUCUGUCCCGUCAGAGACCCCGAGAACAUCACACAGAUUACAGGCCCUCUGCUGGACUUGGUCCUAGCUCUGCAUCACCCUCCAAACCACCUCCCUCUAUCGGUACAGCUAAUUGGUCCUGCUCUCUCCUUACUCAUCUACUGAUUGGACGACCAGUUCCAAGAGGAUUUGGGUAUUUUAUGAGCAGAGCGGUGYGCGGCUAGCGUCAGGCUCGGCGGACUGUGGGUGUGUAUGUGUGUGUGUAGAGGCCCCCCAGAGCCCUGUCAACCCCCAGCCUGUGGUAUCACCAUGGGGCCAUUAAGGCCUGCUGUAUGUAUGUUUUCCUGGAACCUCCAGACAGACUGCUGUGCUGCUACUGGUUCUGCUGUAGAGGGAUGGUAUAAUGCUGGCAGGCCUGUUACUGUACUACACACACACAUCAGCAGACACACAGGGAGUUUCUCAGCAUACUACCAUGCUCCAAGCACGCAAAUUGGAGCAC